rnacentral:rRNA from 1 species
UACGUAGGGGGCAAGCGUUGUCCGGAUUUAUUGGGCGUAAAGCGCGUGUGAGGCGGCCAGAUAGGUCUGCUGUGAAAACUCGAGGCUCAACCUCGAGCUGUCGGCGGAAACCAUCUGGCUAGAGUCCGGAAGAGGAGAGUGGAAUUCCGAGUGUAGAGGUGAAAUUCGUAGAUAUUCGGAAGAACACCAGUGGCGAAGGCGACUUACUGGACACAUAUUGACGCUGAGGUGCGAAAGCGUGGGGAGCGAACAGG